GGAUACCCGCUGAACUUAAGCAUAUCAAUAAGCGGAGGAAAAGAAACCAACAGGGAUUACCUCAGUAACGGCGAGUGAAGCGGUAACAGCUCAAAUUUGAAAGCUGCCAACAGGCCGCAUUGUAAUUUGUAGAAGAUGCUUUGGGUGUUGACCUAGUCUAAGUUCCUUGGAACAGGACGUCAUAGAGGGUGAGAAUCCCGUAUGUGAUUAGUGUUAGCCCCCGUGUAAAGCUCUUUCGACGAGUCGAGUUGUUUGGGAAUGCAGCUCAAAAUGGGUGGUAAAUUUCAUCUAAAGCUAAAUAUUGGCCAGAGACCGAUAGCGCACAAGUAGAGUGAUCGAAGGAUGAAAAGCACUUUGGAAAGAGAGUUAAACAGUACGUGAAAUUGUUGAAAGGGAAGCGCUUGCAAUCAGACUUGCAGGCAGUCGAUCAUCCGAGGUUCUCCCCGGUGCACUCGAUUGUCUUCAGGCCAGCAUCGGUUUCGGUGGUGGGAUAAAGGCUGUGGGAAUGUGGCUCUUCGGAGUGUUAUAGCCCACGGUGCAAUGCCGCCUACCGAGACCGAGGACCGCGCUUCGGCUAGGAUGCUGGCGUAAUGGUUGUAAGCGACC
rnacentral:rRNA from 1 species